AUUGAACGCUGGCGGCAUGCUUUACACAUGCCAGUCGAACGGCAGCGCGGGCUUCGGCCUGGCGGCGAGUGGCGAACGGGUGAGUAAUGCAUCGGAACGUGCCCAGUAGUGGGGGAUAGCCCGGCGAAGGCCGGAUUAAUACCGCAUACGACCUGAGGGUGAAAGCGGGGGACCGAAAGGCCUCGCGCUAUUGGAGCGGCCGAUGUCGGAUUAGCUAGUUGGUGGGGUAAAGGCUUACCAAGGCGACGAUCCGUAGCUGGUCUGAGAGGACGACCAGCCACACUGGGACUGAGACACGGCCCAGACUCCUACGGGAGGCAGCAGUGGGGAAUUUUGGACAAUGGGGGCAACCCUGAUCCAGCCAUGCCGCGUGCGGGAAGAAGGCCUUCGGGUUGUAAACCGCUUUUGUUCGGGAAGAAAUCCUCUGGGCUAAUACCCCGGGGGGAUGACGGUACCGGAAGAAUAAGCACCGGCUAACUACGUG
rnacentral:rRNA from 1 species